UCGAAACGCCUAUCCAUCAUCCUCUGUCUCUGUUGAUAAGCAGGUCUGUUACCUUAUUGUUGUUGGUAUUGAUUUUGUUGACGUUGAGGUUAUUGUUGUUGCACUGGUGCUGCAGCCGGAAUGGUCACUGCUGCAACAUAAGGUUGUUGAUGGUAAUUCUGAAAGUUAUUCCUCCGGUUACCCCUGUUCUGAUAAGAAGAUAUGGC
rnacentral:lncRNA from 1 species